rnacentral:rRNA from 2 species
GGUGGGGUAACGGCUCACCAAGGCGACGAUCCCUAGCUGGUCUGAGAGGAUGACCAGCCACACUGGAACUGAGACACGGUCCAGACUCCUACGGGAGGCAGCAGUGGGGAAUAUUGCACAAUGGGCGCAAGCCUGAUGCAGCCAUGCCGCGUGUAUGAAGAAGGCCUUCGGGUUGUAAAGUACUUUCAGCGGGGAGGAAGGGAGUAAAGUUAAUACCUUUGCUCAUUGACGUUACCCGCAGAAGAAGCACCGGCUAACUCCGUGCCAGCAGCCGCGGUAAUACGGAGGGUGCAAGCGUUAAUCGGAAUUACUGGGCGUAAAGCGCACGCAGGCGGUUUGUUAAGUCAGAUGUGAAAUCCCCGGGCUCAACCUGGGAACUGCAUCUGAUACUGGCAAGCUUGAGUCUCGUAGAGGGGGGUAGAAUUCCAGGUGUAGCGGUGAAAUGCGUAGAGAUCUGGAGGAAUACCGGUGGCGAAGGCGGCCCCCUGGACGAAGACUGACG